rnacentral:rRNA from 1 species
UACGUAGGGGGCUAGCGUUGUCCGGAAUCAUUGGGCGUAAAGCGCGUGUAGGCGGUCCGGUAAGUCCGCUGUGAAAGUCGGGGGCUCAACCCUCGAAUGCCGGUGGAUACUGUCGGGCUAGAGUGCGGAAGAGGCGAGUGGAAUUCCUGGUGUAGCGGUGAAAUGCGCAGAUAUCAGGAGGAACACCAAUGGCGAAGGCGGGUCUCUGGGCCGAUACUGACGCUGAGGAGCGAAAGCGUGGGGAGCAAACAGG